ACGCUCGACACCUACGUGAGGCAGCAGUGGGGAAUAUUGGGCAAUGGGCGAAAGCCUGACCCAGCAACGCCGCGUGAGGGAAGAAGGUUUUCGGAUUGUAAACCUCUGUCCUCAGGGACGAAGGACGUGACGGUACCUGAGGAGGAAGCCCCGGCUAACUACGUGCAAGCAGCCGCGGUAAUCUGAGCGGGCUGGCAAGGC
rnacentral:rRNA from 1 species